UACAGAGGUCUCAAGCGUUGUUCGGAUUCAUUGGGCGUAAAGGGUGCGUAGGCGGCGCGGUAAGUCGGGUGUGAAAUCUCGGAGCUUAACUCCGAAACUGCAUUCGAUACUGCCGUGCUUGAGGACUGGAGAGGAGACUGGAAUUUACGGUGUAGCGGUGAAAUGCGUAGAUAUCGUAAGGAAGACCAGUGGCGAAGGCGGGUCUCUGGACAGUUCCUGACGCUGAGGCGCGAAGGCCAGGGGGAGCAAACGGG
rnacentral:rRNA from 1 species